CACGGAGUUAGCCGGGGCUUCUUCUGCGGGUACCGUCAUUAUCUUCCCCGCUGAAAGGGGUUUACAACCCUAGGGCCUUCUUCACCCACGCGGCAUGGCUGGAUCAGGCUUGCGCCCAUUGUCCAAUAUUCCCCA
rnacentral:rRNA from 1 species